rnacentral:lncRNA from 1 species
CCUUGGAAUGAAAGGAUUCUAGGAUCAUAGUUUCAGUAGUGAAAGGAACCUUAGAGGCCAUCAGGUCAAAUCAUCUUCUUUUCUUACAGGAUUCCACAUAUCAUUCUCCUGCCUGCCUUGCUAUUACCUAUUAGUCACAGAGGAGCUGAUAAGAAUCAUUCCAAGAUCCGAUCCAUGGCAUUUACUUGGCAGGACAAGAUAUUCACAAAAAAGCCAUUUCAGAGGGCUAAUGAAGCACAAAACUAAACCUGAUUAAUGCCACAAAGAGCACACAGGAUAUCUUAGUGUGAAGACUCAAGGUUACGACAUUUAACAUACGUUAAGACGUUGCCCUUCCUUGUAUCCACACACUCUGAAAAUACUUACAGAUGAGUAUCUCUAACUUGGCUCCUACUUGGCUUCUAUAAUCUCAUCCCUUUUCUGUCUUUCAUAGUGUUUCAAACUUUCUGUAGUCCUGGCUACUGACUGGGUAAUUUCUUACUUGCUUAGAUCAUUUUAAUUG